rnacentral:lncRNA from 1 species
UUAUUUAAGUAAAAUAUAAAUAUAAAAAUAUCAAAUGUAAAGAAUAACCUUUUUCCUUUUUGGCCUUUUGGGUGUUUUUUUUUUUUUUUUUUUUUUUGAAUCAUGUUCAAAACAUCCUAACCGGUUCUGAGAUGAUACAAAUGGUCACCAAAAUCAUAUUUUGCAAUUCUUAUGGCUUUAUUUUCUUAAGUUUAAACUUUUAGUCUCCAUGGAAUUUAAUAAGAUAAGGUAUUGUGAGUUCAAUGUCACUUUUUUCGAAAUAGCUAUCCCUGUGUCCCAGUUAAUACCAAUAGUCAUGACUUUCGCAAGCGUGUAAUUAAAGAAUUUUUCAAAGUAGCUCAGUGCUACAGAGAGUCCCCAGUGAACAUGACACCUCGGCGAACUUUUAAUUUCAGAAGCAAUUUGGAGUAAGAUGUGGUCGGGUGUUCAUGCUGAUCCUUCAUGUGGACUUUAAUUCACGUCGCUUUGUAACCAGGUGAGAUGCAAAAGGCCCGCACACUUUCUCAGAAAAAAGCCUCGCUUAUCACAAGUCUUUUGUGCAGCUGAGCAUCUCUGGCAACUGGAGGGGUGAGUUUUAUGCACGAAUUUGUGCUUUUCCAAAGUCUCCUUAGUUCAACUCAAUGGUGACUGAAAUGCUUCUGAAGUAACCUGCGAUUUAUUUCAUAAUUUCUGGAGACGGCUGCUUCCGUUAACCAGGUGCAGGUAAUUUGCGGUGCAGGAAGUAACAAAGCCUGAGCUCCCGUCGGUGCCAGCAGCCCCACACGCACAGCAAACACUCGCGUUCAUGUCUCUGCAAAGCGCUUUGCUGCCUGAAGUGCUGAGAGACACCCUUUUGCACAUUCGAGUACUCUUUUCAGGAUUCCUAUGUAUGUUCAUUUGAAAGUGUUUAUUGAACUACUGUUACAAACCAGCGGCUUGGCUGGGACAUAAAAGAGAAUGAGACCCAGAACAGGCAGCCCCUGCCCCAAGGACACAGCAGUGGGCAGAGCAGGCAUCUCCUGACCAGGGUGCAGAUGCUGGGAUGGAGCCGGGCUCAGAAGAGAAUUGAAGAGAGCACCCCCAAAAGAGCAGGCCCCCACCGAGCAGGAGGGGAGGGAAGGGAGGGCACCCCAAAAUCAGGCCCCCACCGAGCAGGAGGGGAGGGAAGGGAAGGCACCCCAAAUCAGCAGGCCCCCACCGAGCAGGAGGGGAGGGAAGGGAGGACACCCCGAAAUCAGCAGACCCCCACCAAGCAGGGAAAUGGGGUUGUUGGCCACUCUCUGUCAGCCCCUGCACAACCUCCCUUCUCCCAGGCACGGUUGCCAUGCCAGCCUCAGUCACUCACGGCACUGGGGGCUCCUGACGUUAAGUGCGGGGUCCCUGCCAGUUAGAAAGUAAACUCUUUCAGGGCCUGGACUGAGUUUUCCCAACUCUAUGUGACAAAGACUUCCAGGGACCUGGUUAAAAAUGAUGACAGCGGUUACGGUUCUUACAAGAAGAGACUGAAUAUGACGCCUCAGUAUACACAGCAGGGCGCAUGGUGGCUCGGUGAAUGAGUGAAGGAAGCGGGAGGAGGAAAUUCGCCAUGAGGAGAGGCCUCGGCAGACGGAGGCUGCCUUGGUCUGAGGUAUUUAGUCUCCCUGCCCGUUUCUCCACCUCCUAGAUAAGGGAUGUCGGCGUACGUGCCGUGUGGGGCGGCUGUGCCAGGGACAUGACUUAGCAAAGACGCGGCUCUUAGGCCCAUGCCUCGCACUGAGCUGGUGACUUAGCGAAGAUGUGGCCCUCGGGCCUGUGCCUGGCACAGAGCCGGCACUGCAUGGACGUGAGCUAAAAUUUGCGAAGGCAGGAGGACUCGGGCUGAUGGCAGCGGGUGGCCCCGUGAGGCUGACGUGCCACAGUCUAGGCAGGGCUCAGGGAAGAACUGGCCUUGUCUCCUCACCUAGCUGUGCAUUUCCUGGUCUUGUAGCCAUAGAAGCUAACUAAGCCUUUUUGGGAAAGAAAUUGAAUUUUUUCAUUUUAAUUUAAAAAGAAGCUUUAUCCAUAGCCCAAUGUCAGCCCAAGGGGACACAUGCUGUGGUGGACCCUAUGGGGCUAAGAAUGAGCUACCCUGAGCUAGAAGUGAUUGACUGUUUUAACAACUUGGAGGCCAAAGGACAGGGAAGCAUGAGUGUUGAACCCGCCGACCACACUGCCCUGAAGGGGACGGCACAGACUCCUCAGAGAAGAGAAUCAGGAUUUGAAAGAAUCUGGGGAAAUGAAGGAAACGCCAGAAACUGCAUAAGGAAAGACUGAAAAAGUGAGAAUGUAAAUUAGAAUGAAAGCAAAACGUGUGACUUUCCAAAAAUGAGGGUGAUGAAAGCACAGAGGAAGAUGGAGCCUGUCCCCGCCCAACCCAUGUGUGCAGGACGGACAGAUGAGGCCAGGUGUGCGCAGGACAGACAGGUGAGGCCAGGUGUGAGCAGGAUGGACAGGUGAGGCCAGGUGUGCGCAGGACAGACAGGCGAAGUCAGCUGUGUGUGUCAGGGACAGGUGAGGUCAGGUGUGCACAGGAUGGACAGGUGAGGUCAG